CCAGAGGCGUUCUCUUGCAUUUGGUUGCAUCAGAUCUUAUUUCUUCAUGCAGCAGUCAUGUAAGUAGGCAGUGUAGUUUGGGGAUGACCAGCUUGUGGCUGAGGGCCCACGUACUGUUGAACUAAACUGCCUCUGUGUCACAUCAUCUGCUUCAUCCAGCAUGGGGCUUAGCCUCAGACUCCCUCAGGAAGGGAAGGACGUGCAUCCUGCCUGUCCUGUGCAUACGGUGUUCCUCUCCAUGGACUCUUUCCAAGGUGUUGGUCUCCAGAAUGCUCCUGGCUCUGCUCUUCUUGGAAGCAAUGGUGAGACAUCUGUCAGUGUGAGCCCAUAGAGGGAAGCUGAGGUAGGUCACUUUGUAGUCAAUUCAGCUAACUUUUUCUCAAGUCUGAAUUAUCUCAAGGAAAAAUAUAGUUUUGGGUUUUCUGGAUGUGGUCCCAGCCCUAUUUCUGCAAAUGUGGCAUCUCUCAGUUAGGAGAGGGCAGUGCGAGAGUGGGGUGAGGCAGCAGGUCCCUUGCAAGCUGGUAUGCCACCAGAUCAUGCAGAUGGGUCAGGUUUUGUGCCAUGUUCAGGUUAAUGCUUUGCAAACACUAGGUCCAGACAAGAAGCAGUAGCUCCAAUAAUGUUUAAACGAGCUUAAAAUCUGGAGAUGAGAUCUGUAGGCCUUGUGCAAGGAGCAGGACAGUGGAGCACCCAGAAGUGGAUUUAAGACAUGUAGCUGCUUUGUUCUGGGCUUUGUUGAAACAGACUGCCCCGGGAGGUAGUGGAGUCACUGUCCCUGGUGGAGUUCAAGAGCAGUGGAGAUGCGACGCUGAGGGACAUGGUCAGUGGGCAUGAUGGGAUGGGCUGGGGUUGGAUUUGGGGAUCUUAGAGGUCUUUUCCAACUUUAAUGAUUCUGUGAUUCUAUGAUUAGAAGAAGGUGGAGCAGUCACAGGGCUCCCAUGGUUCAGAAUUUGUCCGAGAUCUCUCAGUGUCCCCAUGCUGAAGGGCAGUGCUUGUGCUGGGAUGGUUGGAGCUAACCUGAGAUCCUCCCCAGGUGCUGUGGUGUGGUGCAGGCUGCAUUGGCAGAGGAGGUGCAAUGGGCAAGCAACAAAGUGCAGGAUGGGCCCUGAAAUGCCCUGGGACAUUGGUUUGCCAAACUUCUGUGUCAGUGGUACUGUCAACAAUGUCCUGCCAAGAAGCAUCAGCAGGCAUGCAGCUGAGAUUUCCCUUCCCCCCCCCUCCUUUUCUUUCAUUCUAUUACUCCUGUUAAAUUCUCUUCACUGCACUCACUCUAAUGGUGCCUCAUUUGGUUUAUGUCCUUCAAACUCUUCCCUUUAAACACGUAGUCAUCACUUAGCUAAACUACUGUAUACAAAUAUAGCUCUUUUGAUCUUCCUACGUAAAUCAAUACCUCCUGCCCUUUAAUCUUCCUAGUGGCUUUCUCUGAACUCCCUGCAAUUUACUAUCCAUCUUUGAAAGUAAGUUGUCUUUUGGGCUUGAUUCUCUACAAUUUCAAACCUCCUGAAGUCCCAAUAGCUGCCCACAGCAGGUGCACACGGUGGUUCUCCACCACUCUGUUCAUGCUGAAGUAAUGCAAACACUUGCAUACAAGGCAUUUCAUGUCCCCCUGGGUUGGUGUGGCUCCCCAUGCCAGAAGUGAGUGGUCAUGCAGCACAAGCCCAUAUUUUCAAAGUAGUUCUCACAGGAUGCUAAAAGCCAUGGCGCAAGCCAUUGGGUGCCAUUUGGGGUUGAAGGAGAGUUGUAAUGGUUAGUUAUGGAGAGGACUUUCUGCAGUUAUUGGUGGCUGUAGAGAUGAAUCUCAUCUUCUCCAUAGCAGUAGAGCCUGUAGAUGCAAGCAAGCAAGCCCAAGAUAAAGAUUUGUCCCCUGAGAGUGGGCAAUGUAUGUGUCCCUUCCUUCACAGGACAGCUCACCUUACCUGGCUGCAGGUGGGACCUUUUGAUGGGGCUAGACCAUGGGCUCAGCAGGAAACCAGAUCUGGAAGCCCAUCCAGGGUGCAUGUCAUCUCUGUGCAGGGAAGGGUUGCCUUGUCAGCUGCUUUGCAGUGCCAGGAGCUCUGAGAAAUAACCUUGUGCCUUGCUUUGAUGCAAGUGUCAGACACAAGUCCAGCGCACUCUCUAACCCAUGUGUCCAGUCUGCUGGUUGUAUUAUGUUUAGUAAAUAAGGUUGUCACUGGAGUGGUCUCGAGGGCAAGAAUUAAGGAAUCUCUUAGGGAUUGAAGAGACAAUUGUACAGUUCUCCCCGUCCUUGCCUUGACAGUUACCUCCAGUUUUCCCCUGGGACCAUUCCACUCUUGAACUGGGAAUGCUGUGAUUCAUAGAAUCACAGAAUCACCAAGGUUGGAAAAGACCUCUGAAAUCAUCCAGUCCAACCACUCACCUACCCCCAGUAUUUCCCCACUAAACCAUGUCCCUCAGUACAACGUCUAGACGUUUCUUGAACAUCUCCAGGGAUGGGUCUCAACCACCACCCUGGGCUGCCCAUUUAAAACCAUUGCAGUAAAAUGUCUUUUUUUCCCCCUCAUCUUUCAAAGGGAGGGUUUAUAAUAGCAAUAACCCCUUCUUUUAGCAAUAACCCCUUCUUUUAGCAUUUCAUUAUGGGUCAAAUAAAAGCAUAUCAGAGCACGAGACAGAGAAUCUCACCACUCUGCUUGCCCCCAAAGGAUAAACAUAGUAGUGCUGCUACGGGCCCUAUAGCUUAAUUAGUUGCUAUUCUCUGCAGUUCCAAAAAAGGGUGAAAAAAAUCCUUUGCAAAGCCUAGGCAGGCUGUCUGUGUCAUAUUUCCUGUGUUCUUAGAGGUGUUAAUGAAUUCAUUAAUCACUUAAUGGCAAGGAGGGUCUUUGGGGACCAGCACUGCAAUUUACUGCUCCCAGGAGGCAGACUCUGUCACUGAUCUAAAGUUUCAGCUCCGCUAAUUUGUGCCAGCAGAGCCGCUGAGCUUCUGCCUGCAGCCCGCAAGCAUUGUGGCUACUGGGAGCAUCACAGCAGCACGCAAAGCAUCAGGGUAUGCUCACUUGGGAAGGUUUUGCAACGCGCAACGUUCUGGCUCUGAAAAGUUCAGAGCCCACAUGGAGGAAAGGAGGUGUUCCCCCAGCCUUGCAGUUGUGUUGCCUUAAUUCUUUUCAUUGGGAUAAGCUUGCUGCUAAGCCAGUCCUUGCAAUCAACUGGGGAAUGCAGCAGGAGCCUUGCUGACUUACAGGAAAUGCAAGCUAUGGAAGCGUGGCUGUAUAAUCUGGUCUGGGACUGCAGGCUAUGCAAUGAAAGGAGUCUGUGAAUCUCUUCUAAUUGAAGAGCGUCAGGCUGAUGUAUUUUGACUGAAACUGUCAGUUAAAAUGUGAAUUUGAAUGUUUGCAUUUCUGCUCUGCAGAAAAUGUUGAUUAUUUCAGUCUCUCGCCCUUGUUGCAGGAGAGUCACUUGUGCCAAAGUUCCCUACAAAAUGUCUCUUUUGGCUUCUUUCUCAUCACACGGCAGUUCAAGGAGAGGGGGACGUGAGCAGAGCCCUCCUCUCCGCUAAUUCCAUUCCACCAGCCUGUCAUCACGUUGCAAUUGCUGCUUCUAAAAGGUUUUUCUGCCUUGCUUUUCUGUGGCUGAGCUCCCCUUUCUAACUUCUGUCCGUCUUUCUCCUCGGUCUGUUGCUUUCCCAGGCUGGGAGUCAAAGAGGGCAAAGUACGUCAGAUGUGAGCAGGAGGGAGGGCAGAGUCCAUGGGUCAUGGCUGUCUGUGUGUGUGCACGUGCUCGCCUUCCACCGCUGGUACCCUCCUUGGAGUCAUUCCCACACUCAUGUUCUUUGCUCAACAGUUACUGUAGGGAGGAGAGAGCUGGAAGGCAGGACAGAAGCUACAUGUUGAAUCAAAGGAGAGAAGGCGGGAAUACAAAACCACUUCAUCGUGGAAAACACAAAGGGAGACAAUUUCAGUAAAUGCCAGAUGGUCAAAAUUAACCAGAGACGUGUAGAGCCCUACAUGUCCAACUGUUUGCUUUGGCAGAGAUUCUUCAGCUUUUCGAACAAGAGUCUCUGGGGCGCCCUUUUCUUCUCCUUGGCUUUCCUCCUCUCCUUUGCUCAUCCUUUGGACUCCUCACCCCACCCUUCUCCUCUGGCUGUUUUUCCUGCCUCUCCUCUCUCACUGCUGCCCAUGAGUCAUGUUGCACCUCAAAUGCCAGCUUGUGUUACGGUGAGGGGAGACCACUGCAAAGAAAUGUCCUCAUGCAACAACAGACUUGGAGGGCAUGCAAGGUGGUGGCUGCAGCUGUCAAGGACCACUGCCAGCACAGCCCUGUGGAAAUGCUGGAGCACUUCAACCCUGUGCUUGUUGUUGCUGUGGGUAUUAAUUUCUUCCUCCCCUCCCAAGGGCCUUGACUCAGCUUUGAUUUUUUUUUGUUUCAGCCAGGAAUCCAGAAGGAGUUCUUGCGGUUCAGUAAGCAGAGGAGCAUGCAUAAGUUGCUUACCCUGAUGGAGCAGUGGGAUGUAGUCUUGGUGGGGCAGGGGGAUGCAGCCUUGUUGGGGCAGUGGGACAUGGCCUUGUUGGGGCAGUGGGACAUGGCCUUGUUGGGGCAGUGGGACAUGGCCUUGCAGGGGCAGUGGGAUGUAGUCUUGCUGGGCAGUGGGAUGUAGUCUUGCUGGGCAGUGGGCCAUGGCUGUGUUGGUGCAGAAGGAUGCUGUCUUGUUGGGGCAGAGGGACACGGCGUUCUUGAAUCCAAGCCAACUGCAUGGCAUGUUCCUCCAAACAAUGCAAUCAAGAGGGCCCUUGUAUGGCACAGACGGAGAGCUCCAGCUAACGACGGGCUCUUUUGUGUGCGCGUGUGCUCUCUGCAUUCGAAACAUUUAUUAUUCCAAAUUGCCUUCUGCACAUUUUACAAUAAUUACGACUAGUGUUUGCCUUGUUAUCUCCACAGUUACUAACAAGAAUGCCAUCAUUAUUCCAGUCAUUAGCAAAAUGGAUGUUGUUGUCCAGAGUUGCCGGCUGUGGGCCUGCUUUCAGAAGGAGUCUCAUGCUCUCCAACCUUGCCUACUCCAUCUUUCUUCCAGGGGAAUAUUGUUGUUCUCAGUAGGUUUGAACCUGAGCGGGCGGAGGGGAAGCAGAGAUUUCAUGAAGAAGAAUUGCUUUGAGGGAGUGCUGGUCUGCUCCUGCUGCUAGGAUCCAGUAACUCUUCCUGUAAGAAUGUGUUGCUUGGAUGUGAAGAGAUGCUAUUGAUCUUACAAUGGAGGUUGCAGAUGAAGGAGAAAAGGUUGGAAUUAAGCCGACAGCACUCAACUGCUGUAAGCCGGACAUUGCAGAAUGGUGGCUUGCAUGAAGCCAGAGGCCAAGCUCUAUGGUCUGGAGCCUCACAGGGAGUCCUCCAAGUGAAGGAUGAGCCCUGAGCUGCAGGAGAGAUCUACUCCCACUAAACCAACCUCCCGAGGGGACUUGCUUUGUUUGACUGGGUCCGUCAUCCUCAGGAGGAAACUUUCCUCUGCAAGAUGGUGAAAUAGUGCCCAUGUGGAAACGUUCUGACUGCAUGCGCCUGGAGUCCGGCAUUGUUGCAGAGGAGGAGAGCGGCAUAGGAUGGCUCCAAAGAAAAGAGGUCUGCAUCAGAAGGAAAACCUCCUGCCAUGCCAGCUUGCCCAGACCUAACGGUGAGACGGCCUUUCCCAGCUACACUAAGGGCUGCUUCUUGUGGACUGGAAGUAUUGCCAAAGAGUGAGUGAUCCUUAUUAAUAUGCAUCUCCAAAAACAACAGGCAGUCUUGCACAGAUCCUCUCACACGUAUCUUUGGAUUUUGAGACAGUGGAGAGCUAUUUAUUCCCUCUCACACCAAUGUCAGCCAUAGCGCAAGAUGUCUUGAGCUGAUUAAAAAUCUCUUUAAUCAAAUGCUGGCAGGGGAAGUGUUCAGAAUGUUAGAAGGAUGACUUUGACAAGCUGCCCCUGCACUGUGAGUGACUUCAUCCAGAGGUUGGCCCGGCAGACUGGCGUGUGAUACAAAGCCUCCACUCACCUUGAUUUCCAAAGCUGCCAACAAACUGCAGUGACGAUGCUGAGAAGCCAGUAGGGCACUGUAGCCUGUGCUCAGUUCUUCUCCGUUAGAUACUGACCCCCCCAAAAAAAACCUUUGCUACAGGCAAAAUCCAUCACUCGAUUCAUCAACCCCUACCUACGCUUCAAAUUCCUAUAUCCCAAAUCCAUGGGAACGAUUUUGAACAUGAAUGUAGGCUGGAAAUCAUUGCUGUGCAGAUUGUCUGGAGGCUUUUUUUCCCCCCCUGUUCUAUGGCUGAACUGGACUUCAAAAGAAUAAAUAAAAUCCAUUCUGGUAGCACCCCCUCCUCCCCCCCCAACCCCCCAGGAGGAGUGUACUUCUAUGGAGAAAGGACAUAAAGAAACCUCCUGAUAUUUUAUUCAACCAGAAUUAAGUGUUUUGAUUUUGGGGAAUUCAGCUAAUUUUCUUACUCCUCAAAAUAGGUCAGCUUUGAAAUAGAAGAUGUCACGCUGAAAGAAAAAAAAGGGGAAUAGAUUUGUUUAGUGAAUGUAAGAUUAUACAUACAUACUUUUGGAAUUUUAACAAGCUUAUGAAUGGAAAGAAAGCAUCCAGGUUGUUUCUCAGUCAGUUAGACUUGGAUUUAGGACCGGUUUUCACUCUCCAUAAACUGCAUUUCUUUUUCACUUAGAAGAUCCCCUCCCUCCACAAAAGCCCCUUCCCCUUUUGCCAUUGCUGGAAAUAAAUAGCCAUAAUAUAGCUGGAAUUAAUACAGCUACACUGAGUCAACUAAGUGCUGAAUUUUUCUUUCCCAAUGCUCUCUGGGCACCCAGACGUGCUCAAUAGGAAGUGUUGGCACUUGGGGCUACGUAUAGAAAACCAGGGUGUGUGCUGCUGGGGCUGUUAGGGAGGAAAUCUUGUGCCAGCAGCCCUCUGCUGUGGGCCUUCUCCAAGCUUUGUCUCUAUUCCCUCAUUCCUCUGCAGAUGUCCUAAGCCACAUUUUGCUUUCAUUAUGACAAAAAUUGUGCAAGAUACUCAUCUUCUUUUAUUUAUAUAUAUAUAUAUAUAUAUAUAUAUAUGUAUAUGUAUUUUGUAGCAUUUCUGUGUUCCUACACCUUCUCUCUUUGCGGCAUUGCUUGUGGACAUGUAAGUAGUAGGUUAGUUUCUAUUCUUACUCUGGGGGGUUGGGUUCCAAACUGUUUAUUGAGUAAUAAAAAGAGAAAAUGGCGAGUCAUUGCCCAGGGAUAAUGUGCUAAUAAUUUUAUGACUGGACAAAUGGUUGCAACAGCCCACAAAUGGCUGUAGGCAGGAAACCUGGUGUCUAUUGCUGACAGAGCCACCCCCAAGGAGAUAAAACCUCACUUUUGGUGAUCAAAGUUGAUGCAACAACUGUGAUCUAUUAAAAAUUACUUUGGAGAUGGGUAAGGCAAUCAUUAUUCCUCUUGGAAGAGAAGUGGCGGACAUAGACUUUUUGGGAAGUGUUUAGAAGUGAGCUCUACAUGGGAUGAAUGCAACAGACCACCGUGGCUGCUUGCGCUCGGAGCCACGCGGCGCGCAGCUGCAGGGCUGCAGGCUGGGGAUGCUUGGAGAAACAAAGAUUAAAGGGGGGUUAGUGCUAUCAGGCAAACACGAAUCAUCCCAGAGAUAACAAAGGGUUGAAGUUUAUUUAGCCACUAACCGUAUGGCACUCAAGUGCGUUAGCCUGGCUUGACUGCUGCAGAGCAUGGAGCCGGAAUGGCUGCUGCAGGGCGUACACCAGGAUACACCCUGUCCCACUCUGGGCUGAUGUCCCCUGUCUGAUUACUCAAGGAGGAUGUCCCCCUCCUGGCGAUGGGGCAGUUGUCCCAUCGGCACCAAUUUCUUCCUGCUGUUGUGGAGUUUGGUGGGGAAGGAUGAGCAGGGCCCUUGUGAGGUCUCUCUCUGCCCGUCUCCCAGCAGGCAGGAGGAGCUGUACCUCUUCCAAACCCGCAGCAGAUCCAGCCCUCGAAGCGGGCAAGAAGCCAUGUGAUGGGGCGUAGCUGCUCGCAGCUGCCAAGACCUCACAUUUGUAUGUUAGUGAUGCAGAUAGGAUCUCAUAAACCCGUCUCCAUACUGCUUUACUGCUGAUUUAACGAUCAGAGGAAGAACUUGACUGUUUAUUAAAACAUUAGACAGUAAAGUUUAACAAUAGACAGUAAAGGGUUUUGUUUUUCCAUCCCUCUGAUUGUUAAAGCAACAACACAUAGGCCUGGAGAGGGGCCUGCUGCUAACCUCAGGAUGAUGGGAUGGGGCCAUGAAGCUCCUCCAGAAGGCAGGAUAGAGCAGCUGGCAUUCUGGCAAAUCCCAUAUCUGAAGAAGGAAAUCUGAUGUAGGGUAUGGGUGCGUGCCCCAUCACCGGAGGCGCUGAGGGCUGGGCUGGAUGGGGCCCUGGGCAGCCUGAGGUGGUGGGGGGCAGCCAGCCCAUGGCAGGGGUAGGGCUGGGUGGGCUGUAAGGUCCCUUCCAACCCAACCAUUCUGUGAUUCUAUGAGUCUGACUGUGAGAAGGGGCAAUCCAAUUGCUCUGUGGGCAAGGGUCUCGUGGUAGGGCUCCUGUUGUUCAGCAGACCCGCAAACACCGGCAAAGGGAGCAGAUGGAAACAAAACUCGCAAGGCAACAGCAUUAUUCAGGACAGUGCCAACGAAAGCUGACUGCGAAGAAACGCCGAAGGAUUGCAGCGUGCAGGUGAUGAAAUGGCAGAGGAAAUUCAUUGUUGGUAACUGCAGAUAGAGAAAAAUCAGCAGUGGCUGUACCCAUACAGCAGCACCAUCUCAAUGAGCUAUUGCCUCUCUGGAAGGAGGCUGUGGAGGCAAGGCAGGCUGUUUCUGGAAACGUCAGCAGUGAUCACAAAGGCAGUGGCCAUUCUAGGAGUUACGGAGGAAGAAAUGGAGAGUAAAACAGGCUGCCAUUGUGCUGCUGGGUGCAUCCACAGUGCAUCCCCAUCCGAGGUGCUGCCCCUGCUUCUGGUGGCCGUGUCUUGGGGCCAAGGGAAGAUGGAAGAGGAGUUACAGGGACUUCAUAGCAGGACCUCGAGAACUUGAGCUGAAGUGGACAGAUCUGGAGGAGAAGAUGAGAGGAAGAAAGCCCUGGGUGGCUUGGAGGAGUUGGACGUGGAGCUGGACAAGCAUCUGCUCUGUGUCUGUGCUGAUGCUAUUUAGAAACCCCAGCCUUGGCUCUGCUUGACAUUUGGUAAUGCUGAACUGGGACAGCACCCAAAAAACCCCAUCCGUGUUGGACCGUCAGUAAGAGGUGGCACAUCUGACCAAAACCACGUCGCCAUUUGCUUCCUUGACAGCACAUCCUACCUCAUCCCCUGUCCUUGUCCUGCUGACCCCCGUUCCCAGCCUCCCUUGCUCAAUUUCAGCAGCAUCUUGGGAGGCCCCUUCAGCUGCAAGCCCCUCGCUUGGGAAAGAAAGCGGGGUUGGAGGGGGGGGAUCAGAGCCCAGCUGUGGGCUGGGGCAGCAGGCGAGUGCUUUCCAAACGCUGACUGCUGUUGGUGUAUUUCUGCUGGUGAGGAUGCAGCUGGCAGCGUUUGUGUGCAUGCGUUUAUAUACACACACACACACACACAUACUCACCUCCACACGAGUACACGACUAAAAUACAUAUAUUUCCUCACCCCGCAUCUUUCUGCAAGCUGCAAAAAUACAAAAGAAUAAAAUUAAGUCUCUUAUCGCUGCUAAGUCAUCAGAAACUAAUAUUGCAUCUACCGGGCAGUUUUCCCCCUCCCUCCCCCAAACCAUCUCCACUUCGCAAUCCUAAUUCAAUGAUUCUUUCUGUAGCUCUUUACAUUCUAUUAUUUAUAAGAAACAAUAUUCAGCCCUCCCCUGACAGUAUUUGCAGGGCUGCGGGAAGCAGUGCGGCAGAAAGGUGGUAGAACAAUUUUGGUUAUGUUUCCAUAGCUACCUAGCUGCUAAAUGUGGUUUAUUCCAUUUUAAAGUCAACCAACACACACCCGCACGCACACGCACAAACCACCAGAUGAAGUGUAUUCAAACUAAUCCCUGGGCCGCCUAUUACAGCCUAAUAUCCCUGCCAUUUGUAUAUUUAAAGGGAUAGUUGCUGCAGAAAUAAAUGGCAGGGCAGCGCUCUCGCUGGCUAGAGCAGGAUGAUCAACAUAUUGUUUCUUUCUUGCUCUCCUCUCCGACGUGUGUGUUCCACUCCAUCCCUGUAAUAUUAUUAUGGAGAUUUUUACCGAGGGCUGAGAGCUGAGGAAGUCGGAGGUAGGAUGGUGUCCUCUCGUGGCAGUCAGCAUCUCUGCAGCCUGAUGGUAGCCGUGCCAAGAGAGAGCCGAGCAUGGGCUCUCCUGGGCAUGCACGGCUGUCUUAGGGACAAAACUCUUGGAGCAGAGCUUCCCACCUCCCCUAGUGCACCCAAAGACGAGGAGCCUCCUGCUUCUGCUCCACGCCAGGCUGGAGGCUGCUGCUUGCUCUCGCUUUCCCUGCGUGAAAGAAGAACCCUUGGGAAAGGAGUGGUGGGUACCAGCUUUGCAGAGCGGAGGAAGUUUGUCCCAUGGAAGUGAGCAUCUCUGAGCUGCCGUGGGUUGGUGGAGAACAUCUCAGAGCUUGUAAUCAGUGCCUCAUAAAUCACCGCUGACUGCCGGGAUCGCUUUGGCCGCUCUUCCCCAUCGUCCUGUCUGCAGGAAUGGGCUGCAUGUUUCCACGUGGAUCGGGUCUGAAUUGGCUGUCUGAACCCAGAGAUUAAAGAAACAGCAGCCUCUCUCUCUCCUGUAACUGGCCCGAGAAUCCAUGAGCAUCCUCAGAAGUCUGAAGAGAAUGGGCAUCCUGUCUAUAUCCAAGGCAGGUAAUCACUGUAAAGGUAAGAAAAUGGAAGAGUUCAUCCCUUGGCACCCAGAAUACUUUAUCUGCCUUCUUAUAUGCUCACAAAUGGCUACUGUAAACCAUGUUUUCUCUUCACCAAAAAUACAAAACCAACGGAGAUGCAUGUUUCUCUGCUGAUGCUGGUGAUGCCACGGGUCCCAGGAGGCUUGCUGGGUAGUGAGGGAGCUGCCCAUAUAUUUUUGUGUGCAGGGGAGCUGCUUGCAAGGAAAGCUCACUAAUUAGGGGGAAAAUAUUUGAUCUCUAUGGGCUUUUGGUGAAAUAUCUGAGAAAGGCAGCAGAUGUUGCUGAAAUUAUUUUUCAUCUGUUUUCCCCCGUUUUCUUCCCAUAUUUUUUAUGUGGUGUAUUGAAUUAAAAUUCAAUAAACAGCUCAUGGCUGUUUAUCAGGGAGUGCAAAAAACUUGCUCUAGAUUAAAGCCGGUGCCUCAUCUAAUGCAGUGUGUGCACUCACCCCAGCAUCCCUCUGCCUUACUUCUGAAAGCCACAGAUUACCCACGGUCUUCAGCAAGGAGUUGUCAGACUACCCAAAAUGUGCUGUAGCACAGCCAGCCCAUAUUUCUCCAUUGGGUCUGAUGUCAUCCAGGUAAGUGCAGCAUCUAUGUGAUAUGGAUUUGUAUGGAUCUGCCUUGUAUCGCUCCUUUGCCCAGCAGUUCAGCUCCUCUGAUAGUCAGAAAGCUGCUAAUCGGGCUCCUCAAUCCAAAAAGGAAAUCAGUAGAGAUGUAGGGCAGUCCUGAUGACCACCCACAAGGUCUCAUGGAGGUAUCUGACUUCUUCAGAGUGGCUUCAGGUGAAGGAAUUUUGAAGACAAGAACCUGAAUCCAGGUGUGAUCUCUUCAGUUCUAAGAGGCUUGAGAGACUGAAAGCCCCAUUUUAACCCCGGGACACAGUGUAUCCUACAAGCACAGGCAGCACUGUUCAAACAGGGAGCAGUCACAGACCUGACUCCCUGGAGAACCAGUCCAAGGGUCCAUGGAGAACCACUUACACAGACUGGACAUCAAAUGCUGCCUCAAACACAGAACCACAUGGUUUUGGAUGUAGAGUCAAAGCAAGCAUCUAUAUGAGUUUGCUUGUCUUAUUUCAACCCAAAACCAUCUGUAGGACACUGCAUCCAAGCCCACUGGACAGGUCAGUUAAUUAUGUUGAGUGAGUCAAUGGAUGGAUCAAUUUAUCAAAUGAUAAACAGAGAUUCUGCUUUCAUCAGGGUAGUGAAUAUUAAUUGAUUUGACAGGCAGAAGCUUGGUAAAACAAGUACAAGUUGCAUCAGGGCAUCACUGUAUUAAUUAGCCGUGUUGAAGCUGCUUUUAGCUGCUUCCGAAGUUUAAUCAAUAUGCUACAUUCGAGUCCCAAAAGGCUUAUGGAAACAGCCUUUGAAAUCCUUUAAAUUGCUGCUUCUCUGAGGUUUUAGACUCUUUGCUUAUUCUUGUUCUGCUGUUUUUCUUCCUUAUUUUUUUUUUCCCUCCUGCAAUCAAUAGUGACCCACAAGAACUGGUAGGGGUGGGUUUUCUUAUUUGUAUCACAAAUUUGCAUUGGCUAGGAACAGAAAUAAAAUGAAAAAGAUCUUCUGUUUUAGUACAAUAAUAGUAAUAAUCCUAGACAUUAAUGAGCUGCCCUCUGUCUUCCAGUUUCUAUAUGCAGUAAAUUACCUCUAUAGACUUAAUCUGAUGUGAAUGAGCAAGGCACCAGUUAAAUCAUGUUUUCCUGAGCUCUUGCAUACUGCUCAGACUUUGAUUUAAUACAAAGGAAGGUUUGAGCUUGCUAAUACAUUUUACUGAGUGGGAGGAAGGAGAAGGUGGAGCUGAAAAUGAAGCUAGAGAACUAAACCACGCAGAGAAGGGGAUGGAAGCCCUGAGACUGCUCGGUGCAAGGGUGGUGGUAUAGGACUGCUCUGGGAGAGCAUAGUGUCUAUGCUACUGGCCAGCUUUGUGCAUGUAUGGGAACUGUUGAGUCCCAGCCUGAAGCACUGAUUGAGCACCUGGAGAAAGGAGCCAGUCAGCCCUAGGAGCACAGGUGAAGGUAGUUCAGCUGUGUGACUGUAAGGGGUGGAGCCUGGCUGCACCUCCCUUAGACCUCAUUUAAGGGCUGACCCCCCCUGGGGAUGGGUCUGUUUCUGGAGAUCCCUCUUUGGAGAAGCUUUCCCCUGCAAACCUGGAAUCUUCUGAUACUGGUGAGCAAUCUUCUUCUCUUCCUUUUUACUGUGCAGGUCCUUCCCUCAUCACAUCUCUGUUGUAACACCUUUUCCUCUGUAUUGAUCUGCCACAUUGCUACACCAGGGGACUCUUUGACAGCUGAAGUUUUUGGUGUGUCUGCAUGACGUGAAGGUCCAGAAGGCCACCACUGGGGCUUCUGGUCACCACCCCAUCAGACCUGUGAGCAUGCAGGGAUCUGAAAUAAACUUUCUAAAAAUGAGUUUCUGCCCUCAUAAUUUGUGGUGGCUUUCUGCUAUUUAGGCUUCUCAUCCCUUUUCAAGAUAAAAUAUCCUCAGAUAUGCCCAUAGUGGGUUUCCAGCAUGCUUUCACCGUGCCUUCAGCAAUUUUGUGCAUGUUGACUCCCUGAGGUCACUACUACAGAUGCCUCACCAGUGUACUCAACAUGAGAAGACCAACGUUGCUUGAAACAUUACUCAGGGCCCCAGCAUAAUUAUACCAAUUACAGAGUCAGGCCCUGAGCUGUGCUUUCUGAUGCACACAUCUGCCACGCAGGCUUCAUUGCAUGUGCGGAUCCUGUCGCUAAUAAUGGAAGAUGCCCCAAUCUCUCCAGGGGCAACAGUCUCUGCUACAGGCAAGGUACUAAAUCACACUUGAAGUUUCUAGGCCAAAAUGUUUUACUUUUGUUUUAGAGGAAUAAAGUUCCAAACAAGUGUGAGGUGUAUUUCCAGGCCUGAUUAACCUGGCUCACCUGGUAAUGUGGAAAAAGGGGAGCAGCCUUGUGGGAGGUGGAAGCAGGACCAUCCUGUAGAGAUGGCAUAGAAAUGAUUAGGUGGAAUUAGUUUAAAAAAAAAAAUAGGUCUUGAAGAGCACUCAAGAAAUGUGCAUGCCACCAUGCUCCAAUGUAGAUUUAACUCUUUCUAUAUCUGUUCAACCUCCCAACAGCAUCUUUGAAGGUAUCAGGGAUUUGUCUGGUCAUGGGCCCUGCCAACCUUCAGUCUUACAAGUGCCGUGGGCCUUUGAGCCAGGAGAAGGCACAAAGCCAAUUUUAAUUAGUGGUAUUUUGCAAGCCUAGGUUGCUGGAUCUUGUUGAAUCAAUCUCUGUUGCCUCAGUUAAUCCAUGCCACAGUUGCAGCAGAUGGAAGCUCCUGCAGAAGGUGACACGAAGGGACUCUGGCAUUCAGGCCUGUAAGUCUUUCCCAUUUAGACAUCCCCUUGUCUCUCCCUUUCUUCUGUGCCCUUAUCCAAAGGAUCAAGGAUGUGGCUGCAGUGUGCACACUGUAGGGUGCAUGUCAGAGGGAUCCUCAUUCCUCCCAGCAUUGAGCAGCUAUGGUGAGAUGGCCCAUCAGGUCCCACUUUUGAGCUGUUCUACCCACCUCUUUCUGUCACGCAGAUGUCCUCAGAUUUGGUGACACAGCAAAAUCCUCUUUCCGCGUGGGAUGGCAGGUUGAGAAGCUGAUCUGGAUGCAACUUAUGCAUGCUGGGAACUUCUCAGAAAUUGUUGCACUUGUGAACGUGGGUACAGAAUAGGCUGCAUAGAGUCAGAGCUCCCUCCUGGGCUGCGAAGAAUGGCAGCGAGAAACAUUAAUAGCUUCUUCUGAAUGAGUGAGUGUGAAUGCUCGGAAGCCCAAUUAGUCUGUGACUUCUACAGAGGCCUCCCACAGAGGAGGACAAAAACAUGGAGCUGAAUGGGACAGAGGAUGAGAAAAGAACAAAAACUAAUGUUCUGCAGCUGAGCAAGCCCCUUAUUUGAGUCAGUGUGAGACCCAGGAGUCUAUGAACCUGCAGGACUUUUGUGAAGGAGUCUGACUCAGCUCGGUGGAGGUCCUGGCAGAAAGCCGGGGUGUGGAAGAGUCACACCAGUAGGUUGUCCUUGCUUUGGAAGGGCAUGCAGAAGGCGCUAUGGCAAAGUGCUGUGUGGGCUUCAAGGGAUCAGCCCUGCUCAUCUCACCUGGGCCUUGUGUGUGGACUGCUGGAAAGACAGGGACCGUGUCUGAGGCACUAUAGCAUGUGUGGAUACGAAGGAGGAAGUUGAGAAAGAGGUACUGAAGGGAAGCCACUGGGCUGCUGGCCUUGUGCUCAGGCCAUUUGGUUGGGGGCUAAAACCAUGCUAAUGGCUUCCAGCACCACUGCCCAGAGCAAUGCUAUUCACACCUACCCAUGUGAUUUCCUCCAGAGACCCUUGAAGUGCUUGAUGGUGUACUGAGGAAGGUUCUUGGAUUCCAAGGCAAGAAGCAAAGCCACUUGGUAUGCUCCCUCCAUCGUUCCAGUGAUUUCACUUCCAAGGGCCAUGUGUGAUAGAGACCCACCUCGUCUGUGCGGUUAGAGCUUCCUCUUCCACUCAUCCCCAUCCUCAAGGCUAAAAGGCCCUUUGCUAAAUAGAAAAAAUACAAGCCUCGUGUCACUGAUAGUUUUAAAAUUAUAAUGGAAACCUUCCGUCAGUGGUGACACAAUUACCUGCCCAUUUUCCUGCUCCACCUCAUUAAAGGGAAAAUGUUACAAUUAAGGUACAGGCGGGAGGAACAGAUUAAUGUUCUGUUUCUAAUGCAUUGAUGAAUUGGCACUUAGUCAAGGGGUUUAAAAAUAUUAAACCCUCGCAAAAGCCAUCCCAAAAGAGAGUGUUCUCUGCUGAGGGGCACUUCUCAGUCUGGACUAUUGGUUAUCCAUAAUUCAUGUUAAGGGUAUGCAGUGGUGUUUGUAGUGGGAGUGGGAUUUGCUUAGAUUAGUCUGCUGGUGUUCCAUGGGGUGGUCAUGUGCUCCAUGGGGGAUCUUCUCUAGGUGUUUCCCUUCACAUAAAAUCAAAUUCUUUUUCAAUUUGUUCGGUGUAUUGUACAUAUAAUUGGACAUCAGCUGUUCUUAUUCUUGCUUUUCAAUCCCUUUUCUUUCCUUUUGGCAUGUCUUUGUUAGGCAUGGCUUUGUUCCACCGAAUGCAAAAUUGCUUCAGUUUUUUAUUCCUGUCUUCAUACCAGAUCCCAGCUGCAUGAAGGGGGUGAUGAGCCUGGCAGAGGCAUGGGCUGGGCCAUUGCCAGUCCCCAACCCCAGAUCCCAUUUGCCUUUGGGAACUCCCUGGCCCACCACCAGUGCCUCACCGAGGAGCAGCGUGCGCCUUCAGUGCACAGCCUGCACCUCUAAAGCUGCUCCAAGGGGGGGUAUGAAAAUCUAUACCCACAUUCUACACCCAACUCCAGCAUUUUCUAACCCAAUUUCAGAACCUUUUUGUGGUCUUGAGCUGAGACUUGGGGCCCGCCAUGCCCACAUUUGCUACACCGCCAGCAAGUCUCACCCCACCUAUAAUGAAAAUGUCACUAAUGAUAAAUAUUUAUAGGGAUGCUUAUCUUUAUAUUUACUACCUUGACCUUUAUCUAUUUGGAUUUUAUUUUAAAUUUUAUGCAGCUUGCCUUUGCCUCUUCCCAGCCGUGUGGUGCCGCAGAGCAAGGAGCUCUGCAACGGCUCCGAGAUCGCUGCAUUAUAAAUACGUGCACAGUACAUACAAUUACAGAACUUUAAUGUCUGGUAUAAUUACUGUCUGCAGUUUGCAUUAAUGCUCAGGGUGAUAUAGUGAAGCAAGCCGCUCAGACACUGUGAGAUGCACGUCCCGAGGGGCAAAGGAAAAUCAUUGCUUGCGAUCCUGCGAUUAAUUAUUGUGCCUUGUGUGGAGAGGCUGAGAUUUUUCCCAAGCACUUCUUGCACCCACGGUUGAUUGAAAUGCCUACGCAGGAACGGCACUGCUGCGCAUAGCCUGCAGGCUGGGCUGUGCUUUAUAAGCAAGCAAAGGUCUUCAGUUUUAUUCUUGUAAUGUUGCAAGGGAAAACUGAGGAAAACAGCAGGAAUGAGGAGGAGAACGUGAGUCAGUGCAUCUUAAAAAGUGAUGUGUGCUCACUUGCAGGAGGCUUCCUCCAUGUAUCACCUGGCCCAGGACCCAGGAGGGUGUGCCAGGAGAUGCUGGGAGCUCGCUCUGCUGCAGAGUUUAUUAUUGUUAAACUUAAUUAAUCACUUAAUUGAAUGAAAUUAUUGAUGGAGUUCAGAAGAUCCAUGGGGGCAACUGGAUCAGAACACCAGGGAUGCUCCAGGCUGAGCUGUGCAGGGCACCGACCUGUCACAGCUCCAUGGGGUCUUUGGGUUGGAUGCCAGUGUCAUUGCCCACCACAUGAAAUGGGCUGAAAAGUAAAGGGCUUGCUUGUCUGCAGCUUGUCCUUGCUACUGUGUGGGUGUUAGAGCAGUGCAAGAGCAUACGUGUGUUGCUGAUGGCAGGGAAAUCAACCACCUCGAAUCACCCACACCAAAAAAAUGAAUGAAAACUCACUAGGUCAGCCGUUAUUUUUCGGUCACAGUGGCGUCAGAUGUGAACCCUCAUGGCUAAAUGUGCAAUCACAACAAUUGAGUGGGUUCUGCCCAUCAGGGGCUGUGGGAGCUGAUGGGAAGAAGGAGGGAGAGGAACCCUGGGAAAUUCUGUGUUGUUGUAGAAGGACAAGGAUGGAUGACAGGCUGCCUCCGGGUAAGGAGAUAUCCCAGUGCCAGUGCUGGGAGGGCUGAGGACCGGAUUUAGCCAAGGAAGCCAACAGCUAUCAAGGAGCAGAGCAGAUCCCAUGGCCACCUGGAGAAGGGAAUUCCCAAGGGACUGGUGUCUGGAAGCUUUGGUUGAGUCCCAUGGAUGCUUUUCAUUUGAGGAAGAGGGGGGGAAAAAAAGGGAAGAAAUGAGAUAAUUGGCUUGAUUGGGCUUUGCUGAAAAUCUAGAAAAGAAAAAAGGGAAGAGAAAGUGCUGAGACAGCUCCUUUCUGUGUCUUUGAACUUCAGGCUUUGAAAAGAGGUGUGGAAAAGCUUAAGGAAUUAACAAGGACUACUGGGAAAUCACUCGGGUGGAACUUUCAGGGCUCUCAGCUCAGAAAGAAAUAGGAAGAAAAUCCUUUGUACAUACAUAUACACGCAUGCAUACACUUAGAUACAUAUGUAGGUGAGAGCGUGACCUCUUCAGCCUGCCAUUAAUCUUCAUCUCCAAUGUUUUCAUGCUGCAUUAAUGACGGGUGUUGUUGGCAGGGUGGCUGGAAGGGCAAAAGCUGCAUUUCCCCACGCUGGGGGCUGCGGAGGAGGCAGAGGCAGAUACCUGGGGCUCCCUGGCAGCGCUUGCUGAAGAUCAGCCUUGAUCAGAACAGGUCUUCUCACAGGAAACAUCAACUUUUUGUCAAAAAAGCCUGAAGAUAAAUAUUCUUGGAUGAAAACCUAUAAAAAGCUCAGACUGACAAACUAUUUUUUUUAGGCACUUCUUUUUCUCCCAACAAGAAUAUAUCUGUCAAGAGAAACAGAUGUUCUCUAUGAAGAAUCUUCUUUAAUUACAAGUCUGUCAAAAAGAGAAAUCUUCAAGUGUCUCAAGCCUCAAAUCUGCGAAUGGCUUCAGCCCUGGGCAAGAAAUCACCCCUUUCCUGAGCAGCCCCAGUGCCCUUUCUCAGCUCUUGUCAUGUCAUCCCUGCAGCUGCACCAAUAAACUGGGCAUUUUUGGAGUUUAGUUUUCAGAUGAGCCCGCUUCAAAUCAAUGGAGCUGCUGCUUUUCGUGACUCCUGGGAAUAAGAUGGCGUGGAAACAACCCACGGCCAUGCCCAAAUAAGAAAACUAAAAGAAUUAUUGGUUUUGGUCAACCUGGAACAUGGCUCUUUUUGCCCUGACAUUUUCCUAGAGGAAAGUGAAACUCUUCAUCUACAGAUUCAAAAAGUCCCAAAGGCACUCUGUCAGACAUCUCCCAACGUGCUCUCUCAGUUAUUGCUGGAUGGAUCAGAAGUUCUCCAGGGAGCAGUGAAGAUGUUUUUGCGGGCUACAAAACCUCAAAGGCUGAAAAUACUCAAUUCCAGUGUCUGCUUCUUGCUUCCAGAGGAGAUAUCUGCUCUUUGUCUUCAUCUUCAUCGUCAUCAUCUUUGUCUUUGUCUUCAUCUUUGUCUUUGCUUUGUCUUUGUCCUCCUUCUCCUUCUUUCUCUCUCUCCUCUUCCUCUUCCUUUUCCUCCUUCCUCCAGCUCCUAAAUCCCCACCUUCCCUUGACCCCCCCUCCUUUCCUUCUCCCCAUCAUGCAUUGCAUGCUGAAUGCAGGAGGCUCUCAAAGGCAAGAGUCGGCCUGGGACACUCUUACCCACAAUAGCAGUGGUGAACAGAACCCAGGUUUUCAGCCAGGAAAUUUCACUGGUAAUCUCCUGCGAGGGAGGCGCUCCCAUUUUUCAUGAUGGUUGGCCCUUGCGGGAUAUGGAUGAAAAGAGAAAGCAUUUCAUUUGCUCUUUGAAAACUGGAGCUAUAGAUCAAGGCCCUGCUCAGUCCCCUGAAGACUAGAAAUGGGAUUUUUGCAAGAAUUGAGGCUAUCCUCUCUGAAAACUAAAACAGUUAUCUACACUUUCAUCGAGAGGUCAGCAGUAGAGAUUUUUCUCCAACAGCUGGAUAAAUCCAGGCUGUUAGUGCCUCUCCUUCCCACUGUUCUCUGUUAUUGCUUUUCAUUACGUGAAGGGUGAGGAACAAGCAAAUACCUCUGCUUUCUAGCUUUGCCCUUGCCCGUUUGUACAAAGCAGCCAAACAUUUCCUUCUGACACUCAGGACCCAAGCACCUUUGGUGUCUGAUGUUUCUCCUUGGAUGCCAUGGUCUGGAUGCAGUUGCUCAGGGCUGCUUAAUCCUACCAGAUGGCAUAGAAAUGUUAUUUUUUGGACACAGGCACUCUUCUUGCCGGAUAUGGGUGCCACGGGACCAGGGCAUCCUUUGUCGCCUGGACCCAGUGUGAUCUCCUGUAACACUGGGCAGGAGGGUUUGCAGAAUCACGCUGCAUCCUGCGUCCCUGAGCCUUGCAGCCAUAAAUCCUUUGCCUCUGCCACAACUGUGAUUGAGCCUGCCUGGCUUAAUUUAUUUCUCCAGAGCCCACACAGUUAUGGUAGAGAUGAUUGCCUGCUCAAGGAGCAGCACUUGGGAUGAAAUCUUUUCCUCUUGAGAGUGCUGCUGGAAAAACAAGGCAGUGUCCGUGAGCUGCCAGCAAUCCCCAUGUAGGCAUUGUCUUUGCUUGGCCACUUCUUUGCGGUGCUCUCAUCCUUCCUGACCUCUCCCCUUCUCUCCCUUCCUUUAAGUCCUUUUCUCUCUGUUUCAUUUCUACCUAUGUCUCUUCCUCUUCAGGUUCCUCGCUAGGCACUGGAGCUGAUUGCAGUGGUGAUCCAGCAAAUCACAGUAGUGAUGCUGCUGAUGGAAUAACUCCUUGGGGUUCCACACGGUUGCUGUGCGGGCACUGAGUUUCAAACUGCAGAAAAGGAGCAGGAAAGCCUGAUAUUUGGGUGCAUCAACUGGAGCUUUCAUCCCCACCCCAGGGAGAUGGGUUUUGGAGCCCUAGCAGCCUGCCCACCCUAUGGACAUGGCCAGAUACCCCCAGUUCCUUCCCAAGCACUGCUACCCAGAGAGGUGCUCUGUCCUGGCUAUGGGAGUUGAGCACGAAUAACUCACAAAUAAUGGAAAUCCCCACCAUGUGCCCCCAGCAUUGGCACGGCUCAGAGCCCUGCAAGAAGCGCGCUGCCUUGUUUGUCACCUGAAGCACUUGGAAAAAUUACACAAAUCCAUCAAUGUAAUGAAUCUUCUCAGCAGUGGCGAAUAGACAGAGACAGACAGGCACUCAGCUGAAACAAGUCAUCUUUAAAAAUUAAUACAAAAUAAACAGCUGGCCUUUCGCUCCGCUUCCAGGUGGCGGCUGCGUGGUUUGGGCGAGGGCUGGGCAGGGACCAAUGAUGGUUCCCAAUGGGAUCACGUCCCUGGGGCAGGGAAGUGUCCUCUGCCGUGUCCCUGUCACUGUCACAGUGUCACCUCCAUCUGCUGCUGCUCCAGGAAUGGUGGUGCAGCGCGGCAGUCAGUGUUGCACUGCGUGAGUGACUGCUUAAGAAACAGCCAAAUCUUUGGGAAUGCCAAAGCCUCAUCACCUCCCUACAGCCUUGCCAGGCUUCUGCCAGCCCUCUGGGCUCUCACAUCAGUUUGUCAGUGUCUGAUGGAGCUUGUACACUCCUCAGAGGACAGGCUGAGCUUGCUCUCCUGCUUGUCACGAUGUGGGCUCCAUAAAUAAUUAACAGUGGUGCUGCUUCUGCCCCCGAGCUUUCAUUUCAUUACCCAGGAAUAACAUACCCACCUAUAUACGUGUGUAUGUACAUGUCUGCGUGUAAUACGCAUCCAUAUGUACUUACAUUGCUUAAACAUCUGUUUCACCGGCCAGCCUCUCUGCUUUUCCUUCGGCCAUUGCUCUGUCUCCCUGCUGGUCCCAAGGGCAGGCAAGCAGCAGAAGGCGCUGCUCUCGACCGUGAGCAUCCCACCAGUGCUCCAGCUGCUCCUGCUCUGAGGCCAGGCUAUUUAUGAGGUACCAUGGGGCUGCCCUUGCCCUGCAGAGUGUGGGGAUGGAGAGCGGGGAGGAAGACGGAUGGAUCCUGAAUUGAGGUGAAUUUAUGGGGCUUUGCGAUUCCUGCUGCUGUAUGUCUCCGAGAAAUGACACCGCCACUUCAGGAGCAGAGAUUAAUCUGAGCCGGCAGGAGAAGGACAAAACAAAUCAUCUACUGCAGGAAUCUCAUUUGAUGCCUGUUAGUAAAAGCACUGCGAUGAAUGGCUUUUGUAAAGACCGCGUAGUACAGGCUUUUUUUUUUUCCUCCCUUUUCUCCAUUCGUCUGCAAAUUGAGGUCUGUGAGGUGUGUGGUGGAGGCACCCCAGGGUCACUCAUGGCCAGGCACAGGACAAGGACUCCCAGCAGCUUUGUGCACUGUGAGACAGGAGAGCAAAAAAGGGAAGGCAGAGCUCCCAGCGCGUCGUACCCAAGGAAGGAAUCCUUCGCUUUUGUUUUUAAAAGGGCAUUGAUUCUCACGUCCUGCAGAACACGGGGUCGGGGCAGCCUGCAGCCCCAGACAGAACAUCCCAGUGCUGCUCUGCAUCCCAGCCAGCAGCAGCUGGAUGCGGCCCAGUGGGAGCAGUACCAGCACCGAGCACUCCUCCCGCACGCCGCUGUGCAUCCCAGCUCAAUACAGAAUCAAUUGGAUUGAUCUUUUUUUAAGGUGCAGCCUCCGAACGGCUGAGACUGUGAGAGACGUGGCUAAGCACGCACUUCCACAAAAUAAUUUGUCAGGCCCCGCUGUAGAAACCUAAUGAUGGCUGUAAUUUAUUGCUGACAGACGAUAUUUAUCACCGCAGCAUCCCCUCUUUCUCUUCCUCUGUCUCGUUAGGAAUGGCAUCAAUAAUGUUUAUUGUAGCUUUUAAUUUUUUAUCGCUGGUAUUCUUACCUGUGCUGCUGAGGGCUGCAGGAGAUGGGAAAGGCGUCAGAGCAGAUGGAGGCUCAGCUCUGUGCUGAAGGGUGAGCGAUGAAGGCUGGAAGUUCCUCCUGCGUGCCCAUGCAGGGAGCGUGCAGUGCCAGAGAGCACCCCGAUAGCAGGGAAAAGUGAGCUGUUCCCAUAAAGCUUACUCCCUCUCUUCUGAGCCUUUGGACCUGUGCAAGGGAUGCUCAGACCCAGCAAAGCAGUGGCAUUGCUUUGGUUUUCCCCAGACGCUGCUCCCACGUGGGGCUGGAGAAGGAACAUCACCCCUCCGCUGCUGCACCUGCAUUGCUGCGAUCAUCUCACACCUGAUGAUGCCCACAAGCCCUGUGGUCACAGUUCUUGUCCCUGAAAGCAACCAAAACCCCAACUCCAAUCCUGAAAUCUCCUUUUUUUCCCCUCGUUUUCCUACAGUUUUUCCUACCCUUGAGGAAAUGUGCUGCACCAGGUUGUGAUGCCCUAUAAACCAGCACUUCCCAGAGGGGAUUUCUUCCCCCUUUCCAGACGUGAAUAAUUACCCAGGCAGAGGCUGUUCCAGCCUCGUUACAGGAGCCUCUCAGACUAGCCGGUCAUUUACAGAUUAGAUAGAUGUUGCCCACGUUGUUCAUAACUGAUUAUGGGAUUGGCAGUUUGGCUCUCACCCAAAAUUCAGAGUCCUGAUUUAGCAUAAUUGGAAGUGAAUGGCGGAGCAGGCUGGGGGAUGGGGAUGGUGCCUGCUGCUGAUUUCCUAAUGCCGGCUUUGGGGAUCCCUGACAAGCUGCGGAGUGCUCUUUAUAGGGCAAUAACGUUUAUGGUGUGGGUUGUCUGGGGGAGGAACUCCUGUGAUGGCAGCAGCCACCUCCUGCACGUCCCAGAUCGAAGCUGGAGAAAUCAAGAAUACCAGAAGAGCAACGAGGAUGAUAUUAAAAAGUAAUCCCUUCUGUGUCAAGGUGUGGGCUUUUUUGCUUAUAGAAAUUGUUCUUCUGCAUUAAUCUCUUCUACUUUGUGCUAUCCUGUCCUUUUACUGACUUCUGUUCCUCCCUUAGUUUAUCCCACUAAAUGUUGGCGUUCCCACUGUUGACCCUUCAUGCACCCAUAGCCUUCCUUGCACUUAUUCUCACAGCCCCUCUCUGCUGGAGGCUCCAAGAGCACAGUGCAAUCCAUUGUGCAAUCCACAAUGCAAUCCAGUUUGUCC
ensembl:lncRNA